rnacentral:rRNA from 1 species
UACAGAGGGUGCGAGCGUUGUUCGGAAUUACUGGGCGUAAAGCGCGUGUAGGCGGCCCUGCAAGUCGGGUGUGAAAUCCCAUGGCUCAACCAUGGAAGUGCACUCGAAACUGCAGGGCUAGAGUCCUGGAGAGGAAGGUGGAAUGCUUGGUGUAGAGGUGAAAUUCGUAGAUAUCAAGCGGAACACCGGUGGCGAAGGCGGCCUUCUGGACAGUGACUGACGCUGAGACGCGAAAGCGUGGGGAGCAAACAGG